UCAGUUCGGAUUGUAGUCUGCAACUCGACUACAUGAAGCUGGAAUCGCUAGUAAUCGCGAAUCAGAAUGUCGCGGUGAAUACGUUCCCGGGUCUUGUACACACCGCCCGUCACACCAUGGGAGUCAGUAACGCCCGAAGUCAGUGACCCAACCAUAACCGGAGGGAGCUGCCGAAGGUGGGACCGAUAACUGGGAUGAAGUCGUAACAAGGUACC
rnacentral:rRNA from 1 species